AUCUUUGUACUCCUGCCAUGAUUGUGGGUAUGAUAGUGUUAAAAGCAAUAGAAAAAGAUAUACUCAGCUAUCCUGAUAUACUCAGCUAUGUACUGGAGGUCAGGGGCAGCACACAGGUAAUGUAGUGGAUAAGUGUGAAAGGAGUUAAGGUGGGGAUGGGCAGUCACUAGAAUGCCAAGAUGAUGGUGGUUGUGGCAGUAGUUGUUGCACUGGAAGCAGACCUGGCAGAUGAUGAAUCUGCCUUAUCUGAGUUUGCUCACUGUAAUCCAAACAAGAAACAGAAAAUUCUGUUUCUUAAGACCCCUCCAGCCUCGAGAGGGAUUGUUCAGCUACAACUGGUUCUCCAUUCUCUGUUUGAAGGUGUUUUCCCCUCCCCCUCUCCUCAGCACUCUCUUUACAACCUUCAUUUCUUCCUUGAUUCCUCACUUGAGCGUGGACUUGGUUCUCCUUUUCUGCUUAAGGGCAGCCUUGACAUUAUGAGUGAUCCACGGUUUAUUGUUAGAGAAACACAGUACAGUCCCGGUGGGUAUGGCAUUAUCUACACAGAUAUUAAAGUAGUCCAUUUUGCAAUUGUAAGGUCAAAUACCUACAGUCAUUCCAAUCAUGCUUUACUUAUCGCCUUAUUUUUAAGUUCUAGGCAAGGUUACCUAAGCAUUAAGAUAGCCAAAGACUCUCAUUGCUGUCUAGUCAUUUUACAAACUAGAGGAAUGUGACAUUGAAAUGCUUUAAGCGUUGCACAGAAAUUCUCUUCAAUUUUUAUUUCUGUCUCAGGUUAGAGUUCAGGUGGAGGAUGUGAACGAGUCACCACAUUUUCCCCCAGAGGUUUAUAGUGCCUCUGUAUUCAGCAUUGCCCCCUAUAAAACUCCUGUCAUCCAAGUGAAGGCUUCAGAUCCUGAUGUUGGAGAUGUGGGGCAGCUGGUCUACAGUUUGACAGCAGAAAGUCCUUAUUUUGACAUGGACCCAUCCUCAGGUCUGCUCUAUGUGAUCUCAGCAACAGAACUGGCUGGACAGACAGCUAAAAUGGAGGUGAAGGCCACUGAUCCCCACGAUCUUCAUGCUACCGCUAUAGUGGAGGUGAUGGUUCAGGCAAGUGCAAGCAGCUCUGACAUUGUGACCAUCUCACUUAAUCAGCCUGCUAACAUUGUGGAGAAGAAAGUUGAAGAUUUAUCGACGUCUUUGGGCAAAGUUCUGGGCUGGACUGUGAACAUCGUUCAGGUGUUCAGCGCUAACGACGGAUCCACUGGCACCCGAAACCUGAGAGUUUCUGUGAGGACUUUGGUCAGCUUCUUUGCUGUAGAUGGAGGGCAGGUUGUUUCCUCUGAAGAAGUCAUAAAGAAACUGCAGAGCCAAUCAGAUGCUGUGAAUGCAGAGCUGUCUCAGCUGUUUGGGGAGGAGCUUCAUUUUGAUGUUGAGAUUGUGGACCCUCAAGGGUCCACCUCCAAUCAGGCGGUGAUCAUUGCUCUGGGCAUCCUGUUUGGGCUGAGCAUCCUGGGAUUGAUUAUUGCUGUUGCUUUUCUCAUCAGGUUCCAUACGAAGGGGAAACAGGGGAAGAGUUCUGACAAAAAUCAUAUUCCCAUGGACCAACAGUCUGAGAGUUCCAUAAAUAGUUGUCGAAAACCUUCACACACCUCUGAACAGGGCUUAGGGAAAGGGGAAACAUCAGCAGAUCCCAGACCUUCAAGUCCGUCGUCUGAGUCUAUGACCAGCAGCCACCAUUUCUGAGCUGAAAGUCUUUCUACAUUAUAUAAGAAUCAACACCAUAAACAACAUAACUGAAAAUGUAUUUAAUUUUUCCCCUUGUCUUGAUAUUUUGUUUAUUUUUUAAUGAAUGAACAUGAAUGAAAAUAAGAGUGAAUAAAAGUCGAGAGGCACUCGGUGUAUGCACAAGAUGUACAGAAAUAAACUACAAGAAUGAUUAUUAUUUUCUGAAAGUUAUUCAGAAAACAAAUGCAAAACUUUGGCUAUGAAAAGUUUAGCCUUUCUGAGCGAGAAUAUUCUAGAUACGCAAAGGUUUUAGUGCUCCCUUUUAAACACUCACACCAGUCAGAGCAAUAGAUAAAGAGACACUAACAUACAGAAAAGCCUAUGAAGAGAUUUCUGGCAGGCUCAGGCUCAGGGUGGGCCAACUCUCUGUCUGUUCUAAUUCUUGAAUAGGAAAAUGAAUCAAAUUAUAGUAGAAUUUGUUUUAAAUAACACUAUGUAUUAUGUAAACAGAGUUCAGAAGUAAAGCAGCAAUGAUAAUAUGCACAGGCUCAUGGAGAAUUUUGUGUAUCCAAGUAAGGUACACACUGAUUAAAGCAGAGAAUAAGAAUAUAUACAGUAAAAAUAAUCAAAGUUACUGUAAUUCCCCAUAUCCAUCAAGAGUUACAUAUGUUAUAUCAAGUUCACCACCAAUUUUGUCUGAAGCUACGCAACAAAAAGGGCAGGUUAUAAAAUUCUUAAUUCUAAUUUUUAUUUUAACAUGAUGAAUAUACAACAUGUUCCCAGUGUGCCUUUUGUUUACAGACCGCAGGUCAGAAAGUGACUGCUUUGAGUCUGUAGAAAGCUUUUUAUCUGAACUGUAUAGAUAUUAUUCUAGCAGUAGUCAGAUAGUGGUUCCACUGACUGCUCUAACCCCUUAUGAAUGACAGCUUGACUUUUAAAACGGGGCUGCCAUCCCAGGAUCUUCACCUCAGCAACCAUCCGCCUACAGUACUUGGGAUCUGUUACGUGGUCUGAUUUAGUAAUUUUCUAAAGUAAUUUUCUGUUCAAAGCUCCACUUUGGCUUCAGUGGCUAUGAUUUUAGAUGUAUUGUUUAUCAGCUCUACAAGUUUAUUUGGUUCAGUUUUUAAAAUGGUGCUAUAAGUUUCUUCUUUCCAGAUUAAAUUCAAAAACAACAGAUUAAGUAUAAAUGAAAUGAAUGUCUAAAGAUCAAAAGAAAAAAAAAUAACAGCGACCUCGUGUAACUGAUGGAUUUUACUGUCCUACCUCAUCCACCGACUCAAGAAAAGCAGAGGAGUCGGCAUCAGGACCAGCAGAGUCAACCUGAUGAUCUUCAUUAUGACUGAGCUCAGUAAAAAUAAGACCACACACAGCAGAUCUGUGUAAUGUACGAUUAGGUCAACACAUUAGUUGCCAGUUAGAAAUCCCUGUUCUUACAUUGUGAAAGUCAGUUUAGAUAGAAAGUGUCAAACUAACUAGCCAUAGCGGUCAGAUGUCCUCUUCUGUUGUGGGCUUCGCAAUAAUAACUCCCACUGUGUCAAGUCUGAAGUCAGUGAAGUUUCCUCAUGAUGCUUCUGCUGAAGUCUUCAUUCUCCUGGUACCUGGUAUAACUAGCUGCUUUGUUAGUAUUGCUAAAGAGUCACUGAACUGGUCUGUGUGUGGGGAAGCUUUGGAGCAUCUGGGGGACAAUAUGAGGAGAAACAAAUUAAUAUGAGAUAAGAGUUUGUUCUCUUUUUUCUUUCUAGAUGCCAAUUAUGCUUAAGUAAAUGCUGUGGAGGACCAAGAGUUGAGCUCAUCAAAAUAAAACAUGUAUGGAUUAAUAAUUAUUUGUACUGUAAAAAAUGCAUUCAUGACUUAAUUUACUAUAAUUCUCUUUAUUUAGACAUUAGUAAAAUAACUCACAGAAACUAUGUAAAUGAUUAACAAAGAUUUAGGGGCGCAUUUGUACAUAGAAUGAUAAAGAUAUCUCUUAAACAUCUGUUAGGGUGUUAUUAAAACCUGUCCCUGUAUUAAACUGGGGUGUUACUGCAUUACAUUAAUAAGCUCCUAAAUAACUGGCUCAUCCUUGAUGUAACUCUUCAUUUAGAAACAUGGAUAAAAAAUGCUGUCUUCAGCGCAAAAUGAAUCAACUAAUUAUUUAUUGUUUGCUGCUUCAGUUUUGAUGAUAGCAAUUUGCAGAUACUCCAGAAUGUUAUGAAGAGUGAUCAGAUGGAUUGCAAAGUCCUUCUUUGCCAUGAAAAAAACUAUUUCCACUGCAUUUCAUUGCUGCCAUAAAAGGACCCGUUGAGAUCAUUUCAAUAAUCUUCUCAUUACCUCGGGUGAGAAUGUUGAUGAGCACAAGGCUGGAGAUCAUUAUGUCAUGCUGAUUGAGUUAGAAUAGCAGACUGGAUGUGUUAAAAGGAGGGUGAUGCCUAAGAUCAUUGUUGUUCCUGUUAACCAUGGUUACCUGCAAAGAAACACGUGACAGCAUGCCAGGGCGAAUUGGAGAGGUCAACACUGCACGUAUUGACUUUUUGCAUAAAUGUGAUGUAAUUGUCAAUAAAAGCCUUUGAAACCUAUCAAGUGUUAUAAUUAUACUUCAGUACAUCACAGAAACAACUCACAAAAAGAUCUAAAAAGACUGAAGCUGCAAA
ensembl:lncRNA